rnacentral:rRNA from 1 species
CGCGUAGGCGGUUUGUUUAGUUAGGCGUGAAAUUCCUGGGCUUAACCUGGGGACUGCGCUUAAUACAGGCAGACUUGAGUUCGGAAGAGGUCGUGGAAUUCCCAGUGUAGAGGUGAAAUUCGUAGAUAUUGGGAAGAACACCGGUGGCGAAGGCGGCGACCUGGUCCGAUACUGACGCUGAGGCGCGAAAGCGUGGGGAGCAAACA